rnacentral:rRNA from 1 species
UACGUAGGGAGCGAGCGUUGUCCGGAAUUACUGGGUGUAGAGGGAGCGUAGGCGGGACUGCAAGUUGGGUGUCAAAUCUACCGGCUCAACCGGUAGCCGCACUCAAAACUGCAGUUCUUGAGUGAAGUAGAGGCAGGCGGAAUUCCUAGUGUAGCGGUGAAAUGCGUAGAUAUUAGGAGGAACACCAGUGGCGAAGGCGGCCUGCUGGGCUUUUACUGACGCUGAGGCUCGAAAGUGUGGGGAGCAAACAGG